AGAGUUUGAUCAUGGCUCAGAACGAACGCUGGCGGCGUGCUUAAUACAUGCAAGUCGAACGAUGAGGUUCUUCGGGACCAUCAGUGGCGCACGGGUGAGUAACACGUAAGUAACCUGUCCGAGGGACUGGGAUAACACCUCGAAAGGGGUGCUAAUACCGGAUGAAGUCUGUAGCCUGCAUGGGUUGCGGAUGAAAGGGGGCCUCUCGACGAAGCUUCCGUCCACGGAGGGGCUUGCGGCCCAUUAGCUAGUUGGUGUGGUAACGGCGCACCAAGGCUGAGAUGGGUAGCCGACCUGAGAGGGUGAACGGCCACACUGGCACUGAGAUACGGGCCAGACUCCUACGGGAGGCAGCAGUAGGGAAUAUUGGGCAAUGGGCGAAAGCCUGACCCAGCAACGCCGCGUGGGUGAUGACGCUUUUCGGAGUGUAAAGCCCUUUUGUAUGGGAAGAAGUAUCAUGGGGAUAACACACCCAUGGUUUGACGGUACCGUAUGAAUAAGCCCCGGCUAACUCCGUGCCAGCAGCCGCGGUAAUACGGGGGGGGCAAGCGUUGUUCGGAAUUACUGGGCGUAAAGGGCGCGUAGGCGGCCCUGCAAGUCGAGUGUGGAAUCCCACGGCUCAACCGUGGAAUGGCGUUCGAGACUGCGGAGCUUGAGUGCGGGAGAGGAGAGUGGAAUUCCCAGUGUAGCGGUGAAAUGCGUAGAUAUUGGGAGGAACACCGGUGGCGAAGGCGACUCUCUGGAACGUAACUGACGCUGAUGCGCGAAAGCGUGGGGACAAACAGGAUUAGAUACCCUAGUAGUCC
rnacentral:rRNA from 1 species